UGGACAUUUAUUUUUAUUCCGUUUCUUCUCAAGGUGAAGACAACUCUUUAUAAAUGUCCUAGAGAAAUAUAGUAGCUUUCUGUUCACCCUUUGCAAGUAAAUUGGGUGGAUCGUUCCACUACUGACACAC
rnacentral:snoRNA from 1 species